ACACACUCAAAUUCGAGAACUCGCACUAAAAAUUAAACACUUUUAUCUUAAAAACUAUGCACUAACUUAGGCAAUGGAGCAUGUUCGGUCACCAAACUACCAUCUAGGCAACCGGCCGGAAGUAACACAGCUGUUCAUUUAGAGCAGACUCUCAGCAAAUAGUUUAAUUCAAGAUUAUUUACAGGUCUAACUAGCACUAAUAAUUCACCGUAGCAGCGAAGAAGGUAGACGGAAUCUUGGGCAUCAAAUUGACAAGAACCUAACUAUAAGCAAAGAACAUGAAACUUGAAUAGAAAAUAGAUCAAAAUCUAGUAACGAGACAUCAUAAAGAUUGAUAAAAAUAAAUAAAUAAAUAAAUAAAUAAAUAAAAAUAAGUAAUAACAAAUCAACAAUUGACCCAAAAAAAUCCCAUCUCUAGAAGUAAAGACAGUAGAAUAAUACCAAAAAAUUCAAUUCUGAACCUUCAAAGAGAAAAUGCUGUGAAAAGGGUGAGGUAGAGAGGGUUUACAUUAUACAAAGCUCACUAAUUAAUUGCAGUCUUCAUGUUAGUUGUAGUGUCACUUUCAACAAAAUCUACUCGAAGAUUACUAAAAAUUGUUUACCUGUGUAUCUAGCUCACAAUGGAGGUCGGGAAAGAUCGGAGUUACUCUCAUUUGAACAAUUCAU
rnacentral:lncRNA from 1 species